rnacentral:rRNA from 1 species
CGAACGCUGGCGGCAGGCCUAACACAUGCAAGUCGAACGCAUGCCUUCGGGCAUGAGUGGCGCACGGGUGAGUAACGCGUGGGAACCGACCCUGGGGUUGGGGAUAACCGCUGGAAACGGCGGCUAAUACCCGAUACGCCUUGAGGGGGAAAGAUUUAUCGCCCUGGGACGGGGCCCGCGUUGGAUUAGGUAGUUGGUGGGGUAACGGCCUACCAAGCCUACGAUCCAUGGCUGGUUUGAGAGGAUGAUCAGCCACACUGGGACUGAGACACGGCCCAGACUCCUACGGGAGGCAGCAGUGGGGAAUAUUGGACAAUGGGGGCAACCCUGAUCCAGCCAUGCCGCGUGAGUGAAGAAGGCCUUAGGGUAGUAAAGCUCUUUCAGUGGGAAGAUGAUGACGGUAGCCACAGAAGAAGCCCC